UGGAAAUGGGACAACUACAUUUGUCAUCCCUGCGUAUAAUAAAUGUUUGUAUGUAUUUACUACAGAAUGUAAUCUAGUUCAUGCGUCUGAUGAUCGCCAAAGUUCAAGAAAUCAUGACUUAAUACACAUCGCACGAUUUUUAACACUAAACUGUUAGAUAGUCAUCCCGUUCUGUGAAAAGAAAAGUGUAAAUUGAAACCGGAUAUCUUACGUUAGUUUUACUCCUCAUAUUUAUAACUGUUGAUAUUUGAAGGGACCUGAAUAUUAUUGAUUUUAUGAGAAAAUGCUCGUUCUUUAAAACUUGUGUAUAUAUACAUACUUUAAUGCAGACAAGGCUAUGCAACUUUCCAUUUCUGUUAUACGUGCUUGAUUAGCAUGAUAAAACGAACGGACUCUUGUCAAACUAUAUAUUGUAAGAUCAGCAACGUGCAAGCGGAUCUAGCGUGAAAAUUAAAUUACCGACCAGCGGUUAGAAAUUUUAAUUAAUAAAUCAGAAGGGGACUGAACUCUAAAAAAUUGCGACACUUUACAAGCGAAAUUAAAAGAGUAAGUUCUCUGCAUUUAUUCAUAGCUAGUUAGCUAAGCUAGGAAAUUGAUAAUUAUCAUAAAAAACCCAAAAAGUUUUUCAAACAUCGUUCACGCACGGUAAUCCCACGAUUAGAAUGAGUUUGCGUCUAUCAUCGGACCGUUUAUACGAAUCACUUGACUCAGAGAAACGUUCUAGAAGAGUAGGUCAGUGUAACAAUAUAAAAAAAUAAGAAAUGCACAAGGCAAAAACUUUGCCAUUUCGGUAUUCAUUUGCAACAACCACGACAUGUCAAAAAUGCUCAUCCAUGAUGCAAAUUCUGUUAUAAAACUAUUGUAUAUAAUUUAGCAUUGCCAAGUAGCUCAAAUUGUAAAUGAGAAUGGAAUUAUUAGCAUCAGUGCAACCGUGUCUGUGCAGCUGCAUCAUCGGUAACACACUUAUGGCACCAAGGAAAAUGUGCAUAUGUAAAUAUAUUAGCGAACACCAAUUAUAUUUCAUGGGAUGAGUUCAUUUGUUGCGUAAAGGAAUGCACCUCUCGCAAAUAAAAACACAAAU